GUCAGCGGCCAUAGGGGCAGGGCCACACCCGAACCCAUACCGAACUCGGAAGUUAAGCCUGCUCACGGAUGAACUUGUACUAGCUUUGCUGGGAACGUUCGCUGCUGCUGGCG
rnacentral:rRNA from 4 species